CCCCUCUCAGGAUGGCACCUGGAGAGUAUCCAGUACUCUACCAGUCUCGGCUACUGGAGGGAAAGUCAAGCAGUGGCCUACCUAUUAAAUUCCUAGCUUGGGAAGUGGCUAGAGAGUGGAAGACGAUCUGCUGCAAGU